rnacentral:misc_RNA from 1 species
UCGCGGCUUAUCACCGGCAGUCCCCCUGGAGUGCCCAACUGAAUGAUGGCAACUAGGGGCGAGGGUUGCGCUCGUUGCGGGACUUAACCCAACACCUCACGGCACGAGCUGACGACAGCCAUGCAGCACCUGUACAAGCUCCCCUUGCGGGACCCCGACUUUCAUCAGGAUUAGCUUGCAUUUCAAGCCUAGGUAAGGUUCUUCGCGUUGCGUCGAAUUAAACCACAUGCUCCACUGCUUGCGCGGUCCCCCGUCAAUUCCUUUGAGUUUCAACCUUGCGAUUGUACUUCCCAGGUGGAAUACUUAAUGCGUUAGCUUGGAUACUGACCUUAAAAAAAGACCAACAUCUAGUAUUCAUCGUUUAGGGUGUGGACUAC